AUCGCUUCUCGGCCUCUUGGGCUCUGAUCGAAAGUGUAGUAUCUGUUCUUAUCAGCUUAAUCUCUGAUAGGGUGUUCACUGAACGCUCCGAGAUUAAUUAGAAUUUUUGGCAACCUGGGUCGAGGUCGGAAUUCAUUCCACUCGACCCGCGGGUCGCUCUGCUACUGCACUGCUGGCAGAAUUGGCCCAUACGAU